rnacentral:rRNA from 1 species
UGCCAGCAGCCGCGGUAAUACAGAGGUGGCAAGCGUUGUUCGGAUUUAUUGGGCGUAAAGGGUUCGUAGGCGGUUUGAAAAGUCGGAUGUGAAAUCUCAGAGCUUAACUCUGAAACUGCAUUCGAAACUCUCAAACUUGAGUAUGAGAGGGGUGAGUGGAACUCCGAGUGUAGAGGUGAAAUUCGUAGAUAUUCUGAAGAACACCAGUGGCGAAGGCGGCUCACUGGCUCGAUACUGACGCUGAGGUGCGAAAGUGUGGGGAGCAAACAGGAUUAGAUA